rnacentral:lncRNA from 1 species
CCUAAUGCCACCGUGCGAUAUCCAAGAUUUAUUCCUCUAGAUGUCUUCACAGCUUCCAGCUCUAUCUCAUUUGCGGGCAUAGAAAUGCCCUUUUGUCCAUGUGGUUUGCAAGCCAAGCCUUCCACACAAACUACAAGCACCGCCAUCCCACUUUGUUUAGAGAUACCAAGGUAGAGAAACAAGAUCCACAUGUUGAACUCUCUCUCUCGAAGCGAAAAACCACCAUCUCGGACCACCGGAUUCUUCUUGGGUGUACCAGAUUUUCUAAACCCUAAAUCACCAUCAACUUGAGUAAUACUCUUAAGCUUUCUAAACUGACGAGGCAAUUCAAUCUUCAAGUCCUCCUUCAAAACCCCUCCAUUCAACUUAGUUUUAACAGUAGACGUGUUCCUAAUAACCCCAAAAAUCUCCACCUCAUCUUCUCCCUCAUAAUUAUUGCAUCACAUGCUUCUCCAAGUAAUCACACAUCCUCAAAAUCAUCAUCUUUAGUGUAGUCUCCACGACCAUUAGCAUAGCAUAUUUCAGGUAUAAAAGCAAUUUAAUCACAAGAUUCUGUCAUUUAAUGACUUGCUUCCCAUUCAUAACUGCAUCUCAUAACAUUGCCUUGUUUCUUUGGGUUUUGGUGUGACAGUGCAGUUGUCGAGGUAUAUCAUGGAUCAGUGGUUUGUUAAUUAUGGGGUUGAUUCUUUAUCAAAGACUCAGAAUUCAACAUUUAAAAUAGGCAACAACCCGCUUUUCACAUCUGUCACGUCUCGCCCUCCAGCUCUAAAACAAUGUAGACACGAAGGGGCUUCUUCCGGUGCACACUAUACAAAGAUAUACUGUUUUUUUUAGUAAUUUAUAUUUUUUUUCUAAUCGUAGGGAAGACAACUAUCUUUAUCUCUUGCAGAUCGAAAGAAGAAGAAAGGGGGAAGAGUUGAAUUAGGUGCAU